AUGCUGGACGCCUCCUUCGUCGCCAAGCUCGGUGACUUCGGGCUGGCCAGGCUCGUCAACCAUGGCCGAGGAUCACACACCACGGUGUUCGCUGGCACCAUGGGGUACAUGGACCCGGAAUGCGUGAUCACCGGCAAAACAAACGCCGAGUCAGACGUCUACAGCCUCGGCGUCGUCCUCCUUGAGAUCGCCUGCGGCAGGCGCCCUCUGGUUACAGCUGAGCACGAGGACGACACGAUGCACCUGACUCAGUGGGUCUGGGACUGGUACGGCAGGGGAAGGAUUCUUGACGCUGCCGAUGAGCGGCUACAAGGAGAAUUUGACGGCAAGGAGAUGGAGUGUGUGAUGGUUGUCGGACUCUGGUGCGCUCACCCUGAUCAGAGCCUGAGGCCGACCAUCAGGCAGGCUGUCAACGCACUGCGGUUCGAGUCGCCGCUGCCCAGCCUCCCAUCAAGGAUGCCAGUGGCGACCUUCAUGCCGCAGGUCGGUACUUUCACUUCUACAUCUUCACCGUGA
rnacentral:rRNA from 1 species